UACGAAGGGGGCUAGCGUUGCUCGGAAUCACUGGGCGUAAAGCGCACGUAGGCGGAUUGUUAAGUCAGGGGUGAAGUCCUGGAGCUCAACUCCAGAACUGCCUUUGAUACUGGCGAUCUCGAGUCCGGGAGAGGUGAGUGGAACUGCGAGUGUAGAGGUGAAAUUCGUAGAUAUUCGCAAAGAACACCAGUGGCGAAGGCGGCUCACUGGCCCGGUACUGACGCUGAGGUGCGAAAGCGUGGGGAGCAACAGGG
rnacentral:rRNA from 1 species